rnacentral:lncRNA from 1 species
CUAAAUACUACAAUUUCAGCUGUAAUUCUUUAAUGCCUGCAAAUCAUUAGGCUGAAAAGCCAGUCAAAUAUUUGAGUGUUGAGUUCAUUUCUUAAUUCAUUGAAAAUGCAUUCAGGGAGGAAGAAUUUAAUGGUAUCUGAGGAAAAGACACACAGGAGGCAAUGGUACACAGUGGAACGUGUAACCAGGCCACUUUGAACUUGAAGUCUAGUGAAGUUCUCCAGUGACAAAUACUUGACUAAUGUGGAAAUAUAGUCUCAUUUACGCCAAAGACAGAAAGAAAAAUGUCAGACAGUCUCUUCCUAAAGGCCACAGAUGCAACUCCACCUCUUUGUAGCCUGUGAUAAAUAAACAUGUUUGUAUGAGCACGCAUUGGUAUAACAAAGCUUUAGUUCUGGAGCUCUCUCUAGGGCAUCUCUGCAUCCGUGGCUGCCCAGGCAUCCUGCUACUUUGCAUCCAGGAAACCGCAGGCUCUUCCUUGGAGCUGAAAGCCCUAGUCUUCUUCAGAGGGAAAAAUACGUGUAUUGAAUCCAAAAAUGCGUUUAUCAC